AAGUCGUAACAAGGUCUCCGUAGGUGAACCUGCGGAGGGAUCAUUACCGAGCGAGGGCGCUCCGACGCCCGAACCUCCCAACCCUUUGUCGAUACAUCACCUCUGUUGCCUCGGGGGCGACCCGGACGCUCAGCGCCGGAGCCCCCGGACGGAUCCACACCGAACACACUGCAUCUCUGCGUCGGAGUAUGAACAAGCGAAUCAAUCAAAACUUUCAACAACGGAUCUCUUGGUUCUGGCAUCGAUGAAGAACGCAGCGAAAUGCGAUAAGUAAUGUGAAUUGCAGAAUUCAGUGAAUCAUCGAAUCUUUGAACGCACAUUGCGCCCUUGGCAUUCCGAAGGGGCAUGCCGUUCGAGCGUCAUUACACCACUCGAAGCCUGGCUCUGUACGUUGGGCGGCGGGGACCCCCCCGCGCCUCUAAUUCUGUACCGGCUGGACGGAUCGUAUCUCAGCGUUGUGGUUCACAUCAGACUCGCUGACGAGGGGCGGCCCGGCCGCGCCGUCAAACACCCACUCACAGGUUGACCUCGGAUCAGGUAGGGAUACCCGCUGAACUUAA
rnacentral:rRNA from 1 species